GUUACUGAUAUGGUUGUUGAUGAUUUGUAUGAUACUUGCAUGGUACGAAUUUGAUGAUUUAACUAACUUCAACGAUUUAUUAUUCUUGGCGCUCACGGGCCUACCAAUGCAAAAAUUCUCUUCGAGGUGACGAUUUCUUUUUAGUAAUGGAAUUUUAAAAUGCAUUCAAAUGAAAAUUGUCCCGAAGUAUAUCACGAAAAACAGGUUAAGGAAUUAUGUGCUUUACAUGCUUUAAACAAUUUAUUUCAAAUGAAAGAUUAUUUUUCCAAAGUGGAUUUUGAUAAUAUUUGUUACUCUUUAUCACCUAAUGUUUGGAUAAAUCCUCAUAGGUCAAUAUUUGGUUUAGGAAAUUAUGACGUGAAUGUUAUAAUGAAAGCUUUACAAACUAAAGGGUAUGAAGCAAUUUGGUUUGAUAGACGAAAGGAUCCUUCUUGUUUAAUUCAUAGUAAUAUUUUUGGAUAUAUAUUGAAUAUUCCAACUGAUUUAAAAUUUGGAUUGAUUACUCUUCCUGUAUAUCGUAGACAUUGGAUAGCAAUAAGGAAAGUUCAUAAUGUCUUUUAUAACUUAGACUCUAAAUUGCAAACACCAAAAGUAAUUGGAUUGACAUUAUACCGAUAAAGACAUUAAUCGCAUUAUUGUACAAGUCAUUGAAGGUUUUAAAAAUUAGUUGGCAAACCCAGAUUAACUUGUAUUUUCCUUGAUAUAAUUAAAAAUUGGUAACUGCAUUAAAGGCAUUAACUAUCGAAGGGAUUAUUUUGUGAACAACUCAAUUUUGUUUGUAUUUUUUCGAGUCUGACCUUAACAAAUUCUUAAAAAAGGAACUUGAAAA
rnacentral:misc_RNA from 1 species